rnacentral:rRNA from 1 species
GACGAACGCUGGCGGCGUGCUUAACACAUGCAAGUCGAACGAAGUGGCGAACGGGUGAGUAACGCGUAAUCAACCUGCCAUUAAGAGGGGGACAACAGUUGGAAACGACUGCUAAUCCCGCAUACUGAAGGAGGGGAUUGCGUCUGAUAAGCUCGUGGGAGGGGUAACGGCCCACCAAGGCGAUGAGCCGGAGCCGGUCUGAGAGGAUGAACGGCCACAUUGGGACUGAGAAACGGCCCAGACUCCUACGGGAGGCAGCAGUUGGGAAUCUUCCGCAAUGGGUGAAAGUCUGACGGAGCAACGCCGCGUGAGUGAUGACGGGCUUCGGGUUGUAAAGCUCUGUUAAUCGGGACGCGGUACCGGAAUAGAAAGCCACGGCUAACUACGUGCCAGCAGCCGCGGUAAUUC